rnacentral:rRNA from 1 species
UUAAGCGACUAAGCGUACACGGUGGAUGCCCUGGCAGUCAGAGGCGAUGAAGGACGUGCUAAUCUGCGAUAAGCGUCGGUAAGGUGAUAUGAACCGUUAUAACCGGCGAUUUCCGAAUGGGGAAACCCAGUGUGUUUCGACACACUAUCAUUAACUGAAUCCAUAGGUUAAUGAGGCGAACCGGGGGAACUGAAACAUCUAAGUACCCCGAGGAAAAGAAAUCAACCGAGAUUCCCCCAGUAGCGGCGAGCGAACGGGGAGGAGCCCAGAGCCUGAAUCAGUGUGUGUGUUAGUGGAAG